AGAGUUUGAUCAUGGCUCAGAGCGAACGCUAGCGGCGGGCUUAACACAUGCAAGUCGAACGCGAGUUUUCGGACUCGAGUGGCGGACGGGUGAGUAACACGUGGGUAACGUACCUCUAGGCGGGGGAUAACCCAGGGAAAUUUGGGCUAAUACCGCAUGUGCCCCUUCGGGGGUGAAAGGCUUCGGCCACCUGGAGAUCGGCCCGCGGCCCAUUAUUUGAUCCUUGUUGGUGGGGUAAUGGCCUACCAAGGGUACGAUGGGUAGCUGGUCUGAGAGGAUGAUCAGCCACACUGGGACUGAGACACGGCCCAGACUCCUACGGGAGGCAGCAGUGGGGAAUAUUGGACAAUGGGCGAAAGCCUGAUCCAGCUACGCCGCGUGGGUGAAGAAGGCCUUCGGGUUGUAAAGCUCUGUCGGGAGGAACGAAGCCUUAGGGUUGACGGUACCUCGCAAGAAAGCACCGGCUAACUCCGUGCCAGCAGCCGCGGUAAUACGGAGGGUGCAAGCGUUGCUCGGAAUCACUGGGCGUAAAGCGACCGCAGGCGGCCUGAUAAGUCGGAUGUGAAAGCCCUGGGCUCAACCCAGGAACUGCAUUCGAAACUGUCAGGCUUGAGUUCGGGAGAGGGAAGUGGAACUCCUGGUGUAGGGGUGAAAUUCGUUGAUAUCAGGAGGAACACCGGCGGCGAAGGCGGCUUUCUGGCCCGAAACUGACGCUCAUGGUCGAAAGCGUGGGGAGCAAACAGGAUUAGAUACCCUGGUAGUCCACGCCGUAAACGAUGCUUGCUAGGUGUUGGUGGUAUUCACCCCAUCAGUGCCGAAGUUAACGCAUUAAGCAAACCGCCUGGGGAGUACGGCCGCAAGGCUAAAACUCAAAGGAAUUGACGGGGGCCCGCACAAGCGGUGGAGUAUGUGGUUUAAUUCGACGCAACGCGAAGAACCUUACCUGGCCUUGAAAUCCCAGGAAUCCCUAUGAAAGUAGGGCGUGCCUCCUCACGGAGGAACCUGGUGACAGGUGCUGCAUGGCUGUCGUCUGCUCGUGUCGUGAGAUGUUCGGUUAAGUCCGGCAACGAGCGCAACCCCUGUCGUUAGUUGCCAGCAUUUCGGAUGGGCACUCUAGCGAGACUCCCGGUGAUAAGCCGGCGGAAGAUGGGGACGACGUCAAGUCCUCAUGGCCCUUAUGGCCAGGGCUACACACGUACUACAAUGGCGACUACAGUGGGCUGCGAUGCCGCGAGGUGGAGCUAAUCCCAAAAAAGUCGCCUCAGUUCGGAUUGGAGUCUGCAACUCGACUCCAUGAAGUCGGAAUCGCUAGUAAUCGUGGAUCAGCAUGCCACGGUGAAUACGUUCCCGGGCCUUGUACACACCGCCCGUCACACCACGAAAGUUGGCUGGACCCGAAGUCGUUGACCCAACCCGCAAGGGAGGGAGGCGCCAACGGUCUGGUUGAUGAUUGGGGUGAAGUCGUAACAAGGUA
rnacentral:rRNA from 1 species